GAGAUAUAUCUGCCAAUACUCUGA
rnacentral:piRNA from 2 species